rnacentral:tRNA from 1 species
GGCCGACUAGCUCAGUUGGUUAGAGCGUCGUGCUAAUAAGCGUCGACCUAAUACGCCUGAUGCACUAUUACGCGAAGGUCUUGGGUUCGAUCCCCACGUUGGCCA